rnacentral:rRNA from 1 species
UGGGAAUAUUGGACAAUGGAGGAAACUCUGAUCCAGUGACGCCGCGUGAAGGAAGAAGGUCUUCGGAUUGUAAACUUAUUUUGUCAGGGAAGAAGAAAUGACAGUACCUGAAGAAAAAGGACCGGCAAACUACGUGCCAGCAGCCGCGGUAAUACGUAGGGUCCAAGCGUUAUCCGGAUUUACUGGGUGUAAAGGGCGAGUAGACGGUGUUACAAGUCAGAUGUGAAAACUUGGGGCUCAACUCCAAGACUGCAUCUGAAACUGUGAUACUAGAGUGCAGGAGAGGAAAGUGGAAUUCUUAGUGUAGCGGUGAAAUGCGUAGAUAUUAGGAGGAACACCAGUGGCGAAGGCGACUUUCUGGACUGUAACUGACGUUGAGGCGCGAAAGUGUGGGGAGCAAAC